rnacentral:rRNA from 2 species
UUUUCCUCAAAUCAAGUAGGACUACCCGCUGAACUUAA